rnacentral:tRNA from 1 species
GCCGCCUUAGCUCAGUUGGUAGAGCGACCGCUUCGUAAGCGGUAGGUCGACGGUCCGAUUCCGUCAGGCGGCU